rnacentral:tRNA from 1 species
GCCGUAUAUCAGUCGGUAGAGCGCAAGGCUCUUAACCUUGUGGUCCUGGGUUUAAGUCCCAGGUGGGGCG